GGGGAUUUAGCUCAGCGGCAUAAGCGCCUGUCUUGCAAACAGGCAGUUGUGAGUUCGAUCCCCA
rfam:Cavia porcellus supercont2_60 genomic scaffold, whole genome shotgun sequence.